rnacentral:rRNA from 1 species
UACAGAGGUCUCAAGCGUUGUUCGGAUUCAUUGGGCGUAAAGGGUGCGUAGGUGGCGUCGUAAGUCGUGUGUGAAAUUUCGGAGCUUAACUCCGAAACUGCAUUCGAUACUGCGGUGCUUGAGGACUGGAGAGGAGACUGGAAUUUACGGUGUAGCAGUGAAAUGCGUAGAGAUCGUAAGGAAGACCAGUGGCGAAGGCGGGGCUCUGGACAGUUCCUGACACUGAGGCACGAAGGCCAGGGGAGCAAACGGG